CCUACAAGACCAGACCAGUUGCAUCCAUCUUGACCUUCAAUAGGGUGAUAGAAAACCCCCCACCAACCACUCUCACCAACAGCAUCAAUAAUCCCAAGCCUGAAGAGACAACCUGGAUGGAUGCCUGCAGGCAAGAAUAUGCACAAUGGACUCGAGGGGAGAGGGCCCAUCAUAGCUGGGUGGAGUGCUAGAGUCUGAGAGAAAUGACAAUUGGCCAAAGCAUUCGUUGAGAAGGUAUAGAAGAUCUUUUAAACAGGAGAAAACCAUGAUUAGAGUGGGACAGUAGGGGUUUUAAUCUGCGGCUAUAUUCUUUCAUUUAUUUCACUUUAUAAAUACAGGGAUGGGCAAAAGUAGGUUUGUAGUGCCUUUGUGACAUUCUGAGUUAAAAAGCUAUACCUGCAUGUCUGUUUCCAUAAGAACAACUGUAAGCCCACUUUCUCCCACCCCUGUCUUUUGCGUAGGAGAUGCCAAAGGGUAUGAGGCUUGAUUCCUACCCUCAAGUUACUCCAGUCUUUAGUGGAAGGAGAAGAAAUGUGUUUGGUAUUUCUUCACGCCACAUACCUUUGCAAGUGUUGAUCUCAAAGAGAUACUUCGUUUGAUGAACAAGAGCAGGCCAAUAUUUACCUUGCUGCUAAGCACCACCUCUCCAUGUGCAGUGGAGAGAACAUGCCAAGAUCCUUCAGGCCCGGUGUCCCGGGAGGUGAAGGAUUGCUGGAGACAGCAGCACGCAGAAGCAGAAAAGUGGUGCCUAUUAAAACACAGUUCUCGAUUUACAGUCAACUGUCAGAUUCUACCCAGCCUUCCAGGGCCACCUCUGGAUUCAACUCUACAGCUGACACUCAGUUUGAUCCCCUGGAGCAAACAUCUGUCACCUCGCCCUGGGUAUUGCUCUUCCCUACGUGCCCCGAAGAACAGAAGGGGGCAGGACCUCUUGUGUCACUCUUUGGGGUUGUACGUUGUGCAUUGCUGGCUCAUGCAGAGACUGAGAAGUAACUGGGAGGCCGGUGAGCACCUCUGAGGAAAUUAAAGGGACUUCAAAUCAUUCAUUCGUUCAGUAAAUAUUUAUUGAGCAAUUACUAUGUUCUAAUACUCUGCCAAGGUCCUUGUGAUGCAGCUAAGAGCACUGGAGACGAGGCCCUGACCUUCUGGAGCCAGCAGUCUAGCAGGGGAG